CCUACGGGAGGCAGCAGUGGGGAAUAUUGGACAAUGGGCGCAAGCCUGAUCCAGCCAUGCCGCGUGUGUGAAGAAGGCCUUCGGGUUGUAAAGCACUUUUAUCCGGAAAGAAAAGCUUUGGGUUAAUACCCUGAAGUCAUGACGGUACCGGAAGAAUAAGCACCGGCUAACUUCGUGCCAGCAGCCGCGGUAAUACGAAGGGUGCAAGCGUUACUCGGAAUUACUGGGCGUAAAGCGUGCGUAGGUGGUUUGUUAAGUCUGAUGUGAAAGCCCUAGGCUCAACCUGGGAAUUGCAUUGGAUACUGGCAGGCUAGAGUGCGGUAGAGGAUAGUGGAAUUCCCGGUGUAGCAGUGAAAUGCGUAGAGAUCGGGAGGAACAUCUGUGGCGAAGGCGACUAUCUGGGCCAGCACUGACACUGAGGCACGAAAGCGUGGGGAGCAAACAGGAUUAGAUACCCUGGUAGUCCACGCCCUAAACGAUGCGAACUGGAUGUUGGGUGCAACUAGGCACUCAGUAUCGAAGCUAACGCGUUAAGUUCGCCGCCUGGGGAGUACGGUCGCAAGACUGAAACUCAAAGAGUAGUAGACGNGAGAGAGCGACGACGACGACGACGGAGGGAGGAG
rnacentral:rRNA from 1 species